GUUUAGCUCUGUUAUUGUCAAGAGUGCGGUUUUCAAGUGCUAAAAAGAUGUUUUUUGAUUCUUUAAAUUAUCAUCCCUUGCCUGAACCUUUGGAGGCAACAUCUGAUGGACGAGCGGGUUUCGUGCAUCCAAAGAAUUUGGAUCACUUUAAAUAUCGAGGCAAUAAAAAAGGCCUAUUGAAGCAGGAUGAACCCGCAAAUAAUAGAUUUGGAACGUCCAUCUUCAAAAACCACAUUAAUGCUGCGUGUAAACAAGCAAUAGAAAAGCUUCGGCCAUUUUACGAGAUUUCGUGCGAUCGCUUUAACAGUGAGCGAUUGGUUGAAGAUCUGGAAGAGUAUGAAUUUAAUGAUGAUAUUAUGGGUCGUGCAACAAACAUCAGAAUCAAUGAAGGCUUCAGCAAGCACGAAGGAUGCAUAGAAAAUUCUAACAUCAUUGGAUAUAAUGUUGGGUGUGCUGAUAAUAAGAGAAAAACAUUAAAUAAAGCCGGAUCUUUUCUCAAGGCCGUAUGGAAGCCAGUAAAGAGAUCAGCACAGAAGUUAUUGAGAAGCGUGAAAAAUGGAGAGACUGAAUACAUUCAGUUUCAUUAAUGAUCUCUUUCUAUACAUCAUUGAGUCAAGUGUACAUCUACUUGAUUUAAUCCGAGUACGUCUCGGAUUUAAGAAGUUUUAUUUUUAAAAUGAGCAAAAAAAUCACAAGAGCA
rnacentral:misc_RNA from 1 species